AGAGUUUGAUCCUGGCUCAGGAUGAACGCUAGCGACAGGCUUAACACAUGCAAGUCGAGGGGCAGCAUGAUUUGUAGCAAUACAGAUUGAUGGCGACCGGCGCACGGGUGAGUAACGCGUAUGCAACUUACCUAUCAGAGGGGGAUAACCCGGCGAAAGUCGGACUAAUACCGCAUGAAGCAGGGAUCCCGCAUGGGAAUAUUUGCUAAAGAUUCAUCGCUGAUAGAUAGGCAUGCGUUCCAUUAGGCAGUUGGCGGGGUAACGGCCCACCAAACCGACGAUGGAUAGGGGUUCUGAGAGGAAGGUCCCCCACAUUGGUACUGAGACACGGACCAAACUCCUACGGGAGGCAGCAGUGAGGAAUAUUGGUCAAUGGCCGAGAGGCUGAACCAGCCAAGUCGCGUGAAGGAAGAAGGAUCUAUGGUUUGUAAACUUCUUUUAUAGGGGAAUAAAGUGGAGGACGUGUCCUUUUUUGUAUGUACCCUAUGAAUAAGCAUCGGCUAACUCCGUGCCAGCAGCCGCGGUAAUACGGAGGAUGCGAGCGUUAUCCGGAUUUAUUGGGUUUAAAGGGUGCGUAGGUGGUGAUUUAAGUCAGCGGUGAAAGUUUGUGGCUCAACCAUAAAAUUGCCGUUGAAACUGGGUUACUUGAGUGUGUUUGAGGUAGGCGGAAUGCGUGGUGUAGCGGUGAAAUGCAUAGAUAUCACGCAGAACUCCGAUUGCGAAGGCAGCUUACUAAACCAUAACUGACACUGAAGCACGAAAGCGUGGGGAUCAAACAGGAUUAGAUACCCUGGUAGUCCACGCAGUAAACGAUGAUUACUAGGAGUUUGCGAUACAAUGUAAGCUCUACAGCGAAAGCGUUAAGUAAUCCACCUGGGGAGUACGCCGGCAACGGUGAAACUCAAAGGAAUUGACGGGGGCCCGCACAAGCGGAGGAACAUGUGGUUUAA
rnacentral:rRNA from 1 species